rnacentral:rRNA from 2 species
AGGUGAACUGCGGAGGGAUCAUUA